rnacentral:ncRNA from 1 species
CAAACGGCCUUUAAAGUAUGAUUCUAUAAGUGCUCUCUUUAAAUUUGACUAAUUGCUGGAAACUCCUAAAUAUUAGGAAAACCAGCAGGAAACUUCUGGAUAUAUUUGUUUUGUUUUUUUAAUCAAAUUAUAUCGUAGUAUCUUCAGAGACUAUACGUCAAAAGCUAAUAGAUUCUAGUAAAUGUAGUUAAGCUAUUAGUUAAUAUAUAGUCCGAUCAAGAUAGUAAUAUCUUU